rnacentral:rRNA from 1 species
CUUGGUCAUUUAGAGGAAGUAAAAGUCGUAACAAGGUUUCCGUAGGUGAACCUGCGGAAGGAUCAUUACAAAUUCAACAACAGCACACACACACACAUUGUGAAUGGGUUGACUGACGCAAGUCGUCGACAGCUGAACGCAUGACUGUAGUCAUAUAGUACAUACAACAUACAUAAUACAUCAUAUACAACUUUUAACAAUGGAUCUCUUGGCUCUCGCAACGAUGAAGAACGCAGUGAAUUGCGAUAACUAGUGUGAAUUGCAUUACUUUGUGAAUCAUCGAGUCUUUGAACGCAUAUUGCACUGUUUGGCCCUCCAAACAGUAUGCCUGUUUGAGUAUCAUGAACACCCUACUGCUGUGGACAUGCGGAUGCAUGUGUGCAGUGGUGACGUGGGCUACAAGAGCGAAAGCGCUUUGGCCGUAAAUGUAGCGAUGGAUGAUGGAGCUUGCCGAGUGUGAGUCCCCCUUUGCAACAAGAGCAGUAUGCCUUGCGAACAAAGAGGCGAACGUUUGGCGGAGCCAUCGACAAGUCUAUCGACGAAUGUGUGCGCGUCACGCACGUACACACACACUACCUAACGGUGAUCUCAAAUCAGGCAAGACUACCCGCUGAACUUAAGCAUAUCAAUAAGCGGAGGA